rnacentral:rRNA from 1 species
GACGAACGCUGGCGGCGUGCCUAAUACAUGCAAGUAGAACGCUGAAGGAGGAGCUUGCUCUUCUGGAUGAGUUGCGAACGGGUGAGUAACGCGUAGGUAACCUGCCUGGUAGCGGGGGAUAACUAUUGGAAACGAUAGCUAAUACCGCAUAAGAGUAGAUGUUGCAUGACAUUUGCUUAAAAGGUGCAAUUGCAUCACUACCAGAUGGACCUGCGUUGUAUUAGCUAGUUGGUGAGGUAACGGCUCACCAAGGCAACGAUACAUAGCCGACCUGAGAGGGUGAUCGGCCACACUGGGACUGAGACACGGCCCAGACUCCUACGGGAGGCAGCAGUAGGGAAUCUUCGGCAAUGGACGGAAGUCUGACCGAGCAACGCCGCGUGAGUGAAGAAGGUUUUCGGAUCGUAAAGCUCUGUUGUAAGAGAAGAAACGAGUGUGAGAAGUGGAAA